GCUGGCGGCGUGCUUAACACAUGCAAGUCGAACGGAAAGGCCCUUUCGGGGGUACUCGAGUGGCGAACGGGUGAGUAACACGUGGGUGAUCUGCCCUGCACUUUGGGAUAAGCCUGGGAAACUGGGUCUAAUACCGAAUAGGACCGCAUGCUUCAUGGUGUGUGGUGGAAAGCUUUUGCGGUGUGGGAUGGGCCCGCGGCCUAUCAGCUUGUUGGUGGGGUAAUGGCCUACCAAGGCGACGACGGGUAGCCGGCCUGAGAGGGUGUCCGGCCACACUGGGACUGAGAUACGGCCCAGACUCCUACGGGAGGCAGCAGUGGGGAAUAUUGCACAAUGGGCGCAAGCCUGAUGCAGCGACGCCGCGUGGGGGAUGACGGCCUUCGGGUUGUAAACCUCUUUCAGUAUCGGCGAAGCUCCGGGAUUUUUCUUGGGGUGACGGUAGGUACAGAAGAAGCACCGGCCAACUACGUGCC
rnacentral:rRNA from 1 species